AAUAUCUUUACGAUCCUAUAAGCUGGAAAUAUCUUUUUAAAAAAUUAUUGUGUAAAGUUCAACGAAUAUUCUCGAACGUAUGAAAUUCGUCGCGAGUCAAGGAAGCAGAAACGUGAAAUUAUUCAAGAGUCACCUAUCAGAAUCUCCAUCGUAACCGAGUUUCUAUAUACCUUGCAUCGUGGUGAACUGUCAAAGGACAGCUUCAAACAAAUAUCUAGUCAACUAUCGCACGAGUAUACAUCUAAGCAUUUCCCAAAUGCAUAAUCUUCGACUAUCUGCAUUUCCUGAAUAUCUU